CGCAUACGCCCUGAGGGGGAAAGUAGGGGAUCUUCGGACCUUACGUUAUAAGAGCGGCCGAUAUCUGAUUAGCUAGUUGGUGGGGUAAUGGCCUACCAAGGCUUCGAUCAGUAGCUGGUCUGAGAGGACGACCAGCCACACUGGAACUGAGACACGGUCCAGACUCCUACGGGAGGCAGCAGUGGGGAAUUUUGGACAAUGGGCGCAAGCCUGAUCCAGCCAUUCCGCGUGAGUGACGACCCGCCUUCGGGUUGUAAAGCUCUUUCGCAAGGGAAGAAAACUUACUUUCUAAUAAAGAGUGAGGCUGACGGUACCUUGAUAAGAAGCACCGGCUAACUACGUGCCAGCAGCCGCGGUAAUACGUAGGGUGCGAGCGUUAAUCGGAAUUACUGGGCGUAAAGCGUGCGCAGGCGGUUUGGCAAGUCAGAUGUGAAAUCCCCGAGCUCAACUUGGGAACUGCGUUUGAAACUGCCAGACUAGAAUAUGUCAGAGGGGGGUAGAAUUCCACGUGUAGCAGUGAAAUGCGUAGAGAUGUGGCAGGAAUACCAAUGGCGAAGGCAGCCCCCUGGGAUAAUAUUGACGCUCAUGCACGAAAGCGUGGGGAGCAAACAGGAUUAGAUACCCUGGUAGUCCACGCCCUAAACGAUGUCUACUAGUUGUUGGUGGAGUAAAAUCCAUGAGUAACGCAGCUAACGCGUGAAGUAGACCGCCUGGNGNNGAGUACGGUCGCAAGAUUANAANANCNUCNANCNAGGAAUUGACGGGGGCCCGCACAAGCGGUGGAUUAUGUGGAUUAAUUCGAUGCAACGCGAAAAACCUUACCUGGCCUUGACAUGCCACUAACGAAGCAGAGAUGCAUUAGGUGCCCGUAAGGGAAAGUGGACACAGGUGCUGCAUGGCUGUCGUCAGCUCGUGUCGUGAGAUGUUGGGUUAAGUCCCGCAACGAGCGCAACCCUUGCCAUUAAUUGCCAUCAUUUAGUUGGGCACUUUAAUGGGACUGCCGGUGACAAACCGGAGGAAGGUGGGGAUGACGUCAAGUCCUCAUGGCCCUUAUGGCGAGGGCUUCACACGUAAUACAAUGGUCGGUACAGAGAGUUGCCAACCCGCGAGGGGGGGGCUAAUCUCAGAAAGCCGAUCGUAGUCCGGAUUGUUCUCUGCAACUCGAGAGCAUGAAGUCGGAAUCGCUAGUAAUCGCGGAUCAGCAUGUCGCGGUGAAUACGUUCCCGGGCCCUUGUACACACCGCCCGUCACACCAUGGGAGUGGG
rnacentral:rRNA from 1 species